GGGAUUGUAGCUCAGUGGUAGAGCACUUGCCUUACACGUGUGAGGCCCUGGGUUCGAUCCCCAGCACCA
rfam:Ictidomys tridecemlineatus contig013653, whole genome shotgun sequence.